UACGUAGGUGGCAAGCGUUAUCCGGAAUCAUUGGGCGUAAAGCGCGUGUAGGCGGUCCGGUAAGUCCGCUGUGAAAGUCGGGGGCUUAACCCUCGGAUGCCGGUGGAUACUGUCGGGCUUGAGUACGGAAGAGGCGAGUGGAAUUCCUGGUGUAGCGGUGAAAUGCGCAGAUAUCAGGAGGAACACCGAUGGCGAAGGCAGGUCUCUGGGCCAUAACUGACGCUGAGAAGCGAAAGCAUGGGGAGCGAACAGG
rnacentral:rRNA from 1 species